rnacentral:rRNA from 1 species
UGGGGAAAUUUUGGACAUGGGGGCAACCCUGAUCCAGCCAUGCCGCGUGAGUGAAGAAGGCCUUCGGGUUGUAAAGCUCUUUCGGUGGGAACGAAACGGGCGCGGUGAAUAUCCGCGUUCAAUGACGGUACUCACAGAAGAAGCACCGGCUAACUACGUGC